AAUAGCGUUUCUUUAAUAGCGCUUUUGCCUCUUUCCCUAUCAAAAAAUUAAAAAUUAUCAUAUUAUAGCGCUUAUUAAAAAAAUGCUAUAAUAUUUCAACAUAUUAUAGCGAUUUAGUAGGGCGCGCUGUCAUAUGAUGACAUGUUUUACAGGGCUUCCAACAAAACGCUAUUGAAAACAUAUUUUUUAAAAAAUAAAAAUAAAAAUAACAAAAACUAAAAAUAAAAAUAAAAACUAAAAAUAAAAAUAAAAACCUCCUAAAACAUUUUUGUUCCCAAGUUUACUCUGCAAAACCCAAAAACCUCAAACCUAAGACUCUCCAUUGACGCGAAACCUACCACAAUUCUCUACGCGGCGGCGAUUUACGGUGGUGGAGAUUUAGGUGGCGAAGUUUUCUUUUCCCGGUGGUGCUUCUUCCGACGGAAUUUCAAAUUUCAAGGUGCAGAUGGGUGCUAUCAAUCUCUACAUUAAGAAAUGUGGUUAAUGAAAUGACAGAGCAAGGAAUUAAUGUUUCUUCCAGGAAUGGACGGUGAUGUAAGCGCUUUGACGUAAUGGGAGGCUAGCAACAACCCAACACCUGGCAACUAUGGGUUCUCUUUGCAGACCCAAGAGAGCAAAGAUAAUACAUUGGUUAUUUUGGAAAAUGGAUGACCGUCUUCAUGACUGUAAUUGUAGCCUACUCUUGUGGUGCUGCUAAUUACACAGGUGGAUCAAAUGAGAUGUGCUUGAUGUGGAGUAGUGAACUUACUGACUUACAAGAGGAGUAUCAGGACGGGCUUACUAUCUUUGUUCGCAGUACACCUUCUGAUAUAGAAUUGACUUCUAAAGACUGCAAGCCUUGCGGGACUUAUACUAUUCCCUAUCCGCUUUGCACUUCUGUUGAUUGUGGAGAUCCCUCAUACUUCAAUUUUCAUUGUAAUGUGGAAACAGGGCCUGACAGUUUCUUAACUUCCAAUGGCACCUUCAAAGUCACUUCAACAGAUCUUGAAAAAAAAGAUAUUUUCCAUCUAAGAUAUCAAACAUAACAAUUCGUGUGAUAGUAGAUUUUUAGACUUGGUUCUUCUAUCACCAAAGCUUUCCUUCCCGUACAUGUUGAAAGCUGCAAAGUUGUUAAGGAACCAUCUUUUUUAGAAGUUCAAAAAUCCUUUGUGGAAAUUGAGAUAAGCUGGAAACCACCACCAUAACCUGCUUGUACUAUAUCUUCAGACUGUCAAGUUUGGCCUCAUACUACUUGCAAAGUCGCAAGAGACAGUGAAAGAAGGUGCAUUUGUCGAAAGAAAUUUCAUUGGGAAGAAAAAUAUAUUAUUCUCAAGGUUGUGCCUUCUUGCUUAGCUGGUGCGUUGGAAAUUAUUCUUCUGUGUGGGAUCUUCUUUAUUUAUCAAUCCCGGAAGGGAAGACUUACUGAACAUCAAGGUAAGUACGUUUUACCAAUUCACUUCUACAAAUUAUAGAUUAUUCCCAGUGAUGACUGUCUUGCUUAUACUUCUACUGCUGUUGACUGUCAUGCUUCUACUGUCCUGCUGCUGUGUUUCUAUGACAAUUAGUAUGGCUGAUGUGUUGCUAUGUGUUUCUAUGACUGUCAUGCUUCUACUGUCCUGCUGCUACUUAAUAUGGACCCAAGUAGGCAGUACAUAGGACUGCUGGAAUUUCUUCACCUUUUAAUACAACAGAUCCUUAUUAAACCCAAUCACUUCUAACAGGGAUAACAAAGCCUCACGUCUUACACUAACAAACUUGGGACAGUAGUGAGCUAACAAACCCACUAAAAUUGAAAAGAAACAUACAACUUGAAUUGAUUUCCUCCUUCUUUUCUUGGUUGAGACUCCCAACUUUCAAAAUAAAAAUUAUAUAGACUAGUAGAAAAUGGGUGUUUUAUUUGAUAAUAGAUCAAUCUAAGGGGAGGAAUUAUCAUUACUAUGAUUAUUUGCAACAAAGUGAAGAAGUUGACCAGAACACUAGUUGAAUCAUCCAUUUGUAAGAUCUGAUUAUUUUUUUAUAAUUUAUAAUUAAAUUUCAUUUACAAAUUAAGUAAGUGCAUCUCUCUGAUCGAUUACCUGGUAAGAUUACGGUGGUCCAACUUGGCAACUUCCAUCACGAUUAAUGUUAGUUUCUAAAUAGAUGUGGUUAUGUUUAAUUCAUGUCACUUUUAUGUUAAAGAUCCCUUUUGUUUCCCCCCUUAUUCCCCCCCCCCCUUAUGUCAGUCAUCCUUCACACAGAUAAACAAAUUGAGAUACGCUGAUCUAGAUUAAGUAGAAGACUGAGUGUAGCUCACACGGUUUAGAACAGCUCAGAUCGAGUCCCCAACUUGUUGCAAUAUAUUAUGGGCACUUAUUUUAGCUGUCCAUUUGCACAUGCUUCAAUUCCUGCUGAUUUAUUUAUGGGUAGCUGGUAUUCAAUUCCUGCUAAUCCUGCUAAUAAUAGCAUUAUAGAUUCACACAAUCACACUUAGGGCUGUCAAUACCGUGCUAUCAUAUAAAUAAAGAAAUGCCUAAACUACAAGACUCCUUCUAACAAAAGACAUUAAGUUUGUCACUUUGACACCAGAUAUUAAAUCUGGUUUAGUGUCCUGUCUUACAUCAUCUCUCCUUAUCUUGGACAGAGCCAGUUUAGAUUGAAUACUUUCUAGUCAAUAAAUUUAUAUGUUGGUAACAUGGUACACUGAAUUUGUGUUCCCUAUACAUUUUUCAAUUCAUACCUUGAAACGUAAUCCAAAAUGUAGGAAAAUGAAAAUGAAAAAAUGCAGGAAAAUGCAGGAAAAUGAAAAAAUGCAGGAAAAUGAAAACAUGAAAAAAUGCAGACAAAUGAAAAAAAUUAGAGCAGACAAGGGAGAAACCGAAUGCAUUAGAUGAUGGCAUAUAUAUUUACUGAACACAAAUACUAACUUCCAAAAUGUGAAGUUCAUUUUUUUUCUUCAUGUAUUGCACUUAAUGUUAAUGUUUAUGGUAAUACUAAUUCUUUCGGGUUUUUUCCCUUCUAUAUAUGUAUGAAUUCUUAUACACCAUUGUUUCACAGUACUUUUCAAAUUGUCAGUUUCCAAGUUAUGACAAAGAGCAGAUUGACGAAGUAAUUAAGAACCGAUUGGGUGCUCUAUGUUGUUCAACAAUUGUAUAAUUGCUAGGUUAUGUUGAAGGAACCAACAAACAUAAGGCUCUAUUGAUGUAUUGAUUAAUUUAUUCUACGUAGUUUAAUUUUUAGUUUUAGUUUAGAUCUAUGUAAUCGGUUUUAUUAGGGUGACAAUUGUAAAAAUUCUUUUAAUUGAGGUAUGGAAAUUAAUUUUCAACUA